rnacentral:misc_RNA from 1 species
GGACGAUCAAUAUAGUUUUAUACAUUGUAAUAUUCAAACUCCACCACAGAAGAAAUGUUGCCAGGAUAGAGAAUAUUAAUGCUGAAUCAUAAAGAAAUCGCUGAAUGAACGUUUUAAAUAAUGUAAUAUUGAACGUAUAUCACACUAGAGUUACCCUUGUAUAUCAUCAGUGACAAUAUAUGUUUGAAUGAGCUAACAUUAUCCAUAAAAACUUAUGCUUCUCUGAGUGAGUCAUGUGUCGAUGGACUUACAGUUUCUCUUGAACAUUCAGAGGAAGAAGAGCCUACCGAUGCUGUUGCUGAAUCUGAUCUCUUAAGUUCAUUGCUGAUGUCCUUCCCAUUAGAAUCAACGCUCCAAUAAUCAUUCAACAUCUUUUUCACGCCAAAACCAAACUGAGAAG